AGGGUUUGAUUCUGGCUCAGGAUAAACGCUGGCGGCGCACAUAAGACAUGCAAGUCGAACGAACUUAAUUUUAAUAUUUAUAUUAAAAAGCGGUUAGUGGCGGACUGGUGAGUAACGCGUAAGCAAUCUGCCUAUCAGAGGGGAAUAACAGUGAGAAAUCAUUGCUAAUACCGCAUAUGCCAUAAGAAUCACAUGAUUCUAGUGGGAAAGGAGCAAUCCGCUGAUAGAUGAGCUUGCGUCUGAUUAGCUAGUUGGUGGGAUAACGGCCUACCAAGGCGACGAUCAGUAGCCGGACUGAGAGGUUGAACGGCCACAUUGGGACUGAGAUACGGCCCAG
rnacentral:rRNA from 1 species